AUUCUGAGGACUUCCCCUGGCAUGCGGAACUGUAAGUCCAAAUACAAGAGGAUUCACUCCAAAUUGUACGCCACACUCAGGCAUGGGACUAAGAACGAUCUACAAUCAGACAGUGAUUCAAAAGACUCAGCUAAGUGCUACAUAAUGAGCAACUUGUGCUCCUCAACCAAAUGGCACAGCAAGAAGACAGCCAUUGGUGAAACAGGAAGAAGAACUUCAUCAGAACCCAAUCUUUGUGGCACCCUAAUCUUGGACUUUCCAACCUCCAGAGCUAUGAGAAAUAAAUUUAUGUUGUUUAAGCCAUUCUAGUCUAUAAU
rnacentral:lncRNA from 1 species